rnacentral:rRNA from 1 species
GCCCUAGUAACGGCGAGUGAAGCGGCAACAGCUCAAAUUUGAAAUCUGGCCCUUGUGGUCCGAGUUGUAAUUUGUAGAGGAUGCUUUUGGUGAGGUACCUUCCGAGUUCCCUGGAACGGGACGCCAUAGAGGGUGAGAGCCCCGUCUGGUUGGAUACCGAUCCUCUGUAAAGCUCCUUCGACGAGUCGAGUAGUUUGGGAAUGCUGCUCUAAAUGGGAGGUAUAUGUCUUCUAAAGCUAAAUAUUGGCCAGAGACCGAUAGCGCACAAGUAGAGUGAUCGAAAGAUGAAAAGCACUUUGAAAAGAGGGUUAAAUAGUACGUGAAAUUGUUGAAAGGGAAGCGCUUGUGACCAGACUUGGGCUUGGUUAAUCAUCCAGGGUUCUCCCUGGUGCACUUGGCCAGCCCAGGCCAGCAUCAGUUUGUCGCGGGGGAUAAAGGCGUUGGGAAUGUGGCUCCCCCGGGAGUGUUAUAGCCCUUCGUGUAAUACCCUGCUUUAGACUGAGGUUCGCGCAUCUGCAAGGAUGCUGGCGUAAUGGUCAUCAGCGACCCGUCUUGAAACACGGACCAAGGAGUCGUCUUCGUAUGCGAGUGUUCGGGUGUCAAACCCCUACGCGUAAUGAAAGUGAACGCAGGUGAGAGCUUCGGCGCAUCAUCGACCGAUCCUGAUGUUCUCGGAUGGAUUUGAGUAAGAGCAUACGGGGCCGGACCCGAAAGAAGGUGAACUAUGCCUGUGUAGGGUGAAGCCAGAGGAAACUCUGGUGGAGGCUCGCAGCGGUUCUGACGUGCAAAUCGAUCGUC